ACACGACUACAUUAGAUACCCGCGUAGUCCUAGCCGUAAACGAUACUCGCUAGGUGUCGGCCACGGUGCGACCGUUGUCGGUGCCGUAGGGAAGCCGUGAAGCGAGCCACCUGGGAAGUACGGCCGCAAGGCUGAAACUUAAAGGAAUUGGCGGGGGAGCACCACGACGGGUGGAGCUUGCGGUUUAAUUGGAUUCAACGCCGGAAAUCUUACCGGGACCGACAGCAACAUGAAGGCCAGGCUGAAGACUUUGCCGGAUUAGCUG
rnacentral:rRNA from 1 species